rnacentral:rRNA from 1 species
GGCUCCGCCUUGAGAUGGGCCCGCGUUCCAUUAGGUAGUUGGCGGGGUAAGAGCCCACCAAGCCGAUGAUGGGUAGCCGGCCUGAGAGGGUGAACGGCCACAUUGGGACUGAGAUACGGCCCAGACUCCUACGGGAGGCAGCAGCUAAGAAUAUUCCGCAAUGGACGAAAGUCUGACGGAGCGACGCCGCGUGAAUGAAGAAGGCCGAAAGGUUGUAAAAUUCUUUUGCGGAUGAAGAAUAAGGCGGGGAGGGAAUGCCCUGCUGAUGACGAUAGUCUGCGAAUAAGCCCCGGCUAAUUACGUGCCAGCAGCCGCGGUAACACGUAAGGGGCGAGCGUUGUUCGGAAUUAUUGGGCGUAAAGGGCGCGUAGGCGGUUAUGCAAGCCCGGCGUGAAAGGCAGGAGCUUAACCUCUGGAUUGCGCCGGGAACUGUGAGACUGGAGUCAUGGAGGGGGAGUUGGAAUUCCUGGUGUAGGGGUGAAAUCUGUAGAUAUCAGGAAGAACACCGGUGGCGAAGGCGAACUUCCAGCCGAUGACUGACGCUGAGGCGCGAAAG